UACGUAGGGACCGAGCGUUGUCCGGAAUCAUUGGGCGUAAAGAGCGUGUAGGCGGCCCCUUAAGUCCUGCGUGAAAUCCUGCGGCUCAACCGCAGACGGUCGUGGGAAACUGCAAGGCUUGAGUCCGGGAGAGGGGGGUGGAAUUCCCAGUGUAGCGGUGAAAUGCGUAGAUAUUGGGAGGAACACCGGUGGCGAAGGCGGCGACCUGGACGGACACUGACGCUGAGACGCGAAAGCGUGGGGAGCAAACAGG
rnacentral:rRNA from 1 species